AACGGCCAUACCAUGCUGAAUAUACCGGUUCUCGUUAGAUCACCGAAGUCAAGCAUCAUUGGGCGCGGUCAGUACUUGGGUGAGUGACCACCUGGGAACACUGCUUGCCGU
rnacentral:rRNA from 1 species